rnacentral:rRNA from 1 species
CAAUAGCGUAUAUUAAAGUUGUUGCGGUUAAAAAGCUCGUAGUUGGAUUUCUGCCGAGGACGACCGGUCCGCCCUCUGGGUGAGCAUCUGGAUCGGCCUGGGCAUCCUCUUGGGGAACGUAGCUGCACUUGACUGUGUGGUGCGGUAUCCAGGACCUUUACUUUGAGGAAAUUAGAGUGUUUCAAGCAGGCUUCCGCCUUGAAUACAUUAGCAUGGAAUAAUAAGAUAGGACCUCGGUUCUAUUUUGUUGGUUUCUAGAGCUGAGGUAAUGAUUAAUAGGGAUAGUUGGGGGCAUUCGUAUUUAACUGUCAGAGGUGAAAUUCUUGGAUUUGUUAAAGACGGACUACUGCGAAAAGCUAUUCGACCGAAGGAGUUUGUUUCUAGUUAGUACUACGAAACGGAAACGGUAAAAGGGGUUAAGGGGUACGUACGGAAACGGAACGUACUACGAAGUAACCUAACCUACUUCGUAGGAACGUACGUCCGAACC